AGAGUUUGAUCAUGGCUCAGGACGAACGCUGGCGGCGUGCCUAACACAUGCAAGUCGAGCGGUAACACAGGGAGCUUGCUCCUGGGUGACGAGCGGCGGACGGGUGAGUAAUGUCUGGGAAACUGCCUGAUGGAGGGGGAUAACUACUGGAAACGGUGGCUAAUACCGCAUAACGUCGCGAGACCAAAGUGUGGGACCUUCGGGCCACAUGCCAUUUGAUGAACCCAUAUGGGAUUAGCUAGUAGGUGGGGUAAUGGCUCACCUAGGCGACGAUCUCUAGCUGGUCUGAGAGGAUGACCAGCCACACUGGAACUGAGACACGGUCCAGACUCCUACGGGAGGCAGCAGUGGGGAAUAUUGCACAAUGGGCGCAAGCCUGAUGCAGCCAUGCCGCGUGUAUGAAGAAGGCCUUCGGGUUGUAAAGUACUUUCAGCGAGGAGGAAGGCAUUAAGGUUAAUAACCUUGGUGAUUGACGUUACUCGCAGAAGAAGCACCGGCUAACUCCGUGCCAGCCGCCGCGGUAAUUC
rnacentral:rRNA from 1 species